AAACUUUCAACAACGGAUCUCUUGGUUCUGGCAUCGAUGAAGAACGCAGCGAAAUGCGAUAAGUAAUGUGAAUUGCAGAAUUCAGUGAAUUCAUCGAAUCUUUGAACGCACAUUGCGCCCUGUGGUAUUCCUGCAGGGCAUGCCUGUUCGACCGUCAU
rnacentral:rRNA from 1 species